GCGGCCCACAAGGGCAGUAGCUAGGAAGGCUGUGCCUGCUGGGGGUUGGGUGAGACGAAACCAGGGAACCCCCCUCCAGGAGGCAUGCGGGACUCUGACCUCUCAUUUGGGGGUGCCCCCUAGCCUUCUCUACACACCUCCUCCCCCGCUUCCUACCCCACCCAAAUCUGCGCGCUCAAGAAGCAGCCAAACUUGAGAACUGUGUUGCUGCUUCCUCAGGCAAAUGAUUUCUUCUGUAAAUGUCUUCUUGACAUGUCUAUGAAGAGACAUCCUCAGAGCCAAACUGCCUUCAUCUUCAUCAGAUCUGUUUGCAAGAGAUAGUCAUAGCUGACCAUGUUAACUGUGACCUACUUUUAUAUAAGGGGCACAGUGCGUAUCCAGGCACCCCUCCAAGCUAGCUGUAUGAAAAUCUAAUUGUACAAAUUGUGAGUCUGUGAUGGCUAAUCUUGGUUGUCAACUUGAAGACAUCUAGAAUCAACUGAAUCCCAAGCAGCUAGGUGUUGAGAAAUUUUCAUGAUUGAAUCAUCUGAGGUCAGAAGACUCACUCUAAAGCUGGGCUACACCUUCUGAUGGCAUCCCGCAUAAAAGCACACGGAAUAAGGAAAGCUUUGAUUUUUGCCUGCUUGUCCUCACUCUUACUGGCAAGUUCAUCUACUCUGCUGCUGUGGCAUUCUUUCACUGGUGUUAGAACCUACUUCUUCAUGACUGAAGACUAGCUAAGAUAUCCAGCCAUGUGGACUGAAUAACUACUAAAUUUAUGGCCUUUUUUUUGUAGCGAGAGAUAUUUAUUGUUGGACUAGACAGAUGACAGCCUGUUAGCCACUCUAAUAAAUUACCUUUAGUAUAAUAUUCUUUCUAUCAGUUCUGUUUCUUUAGAGAUCCCUGAUUAAUACAGAGAAGCUGGAGUAUAUAGAUGAGAAAAGGACUAGGGCAGGAAGCUCCAUCUAUGUAGCCUCAGGGAAGUUAUCAGCCAUACUGGGUACAGAUCAUCCAGUGUGGCUUAAGGCUACCCAUAUGACUACCUGUAACACCUCACCCAUUGCUAUGUAAUAAGCCUAAUAAAGUCGUUGGUUUCC
rnacentral:lncRNA from 1 species